rnacentral:rRNA from 1 species
CCCUUAGAUGCUCUGGGCCGCACGCGCGCUACACUGAUGAAUUCAACGAGCCUAGCCUUGUCCGAAAGGUCCGGGUAAUCUCUGAAACUUCAUCGUGAUGGGGAUAGAUCAUUGCAAUUAUUGAUCUUCAACGAGGAAUUCCUAGUAAGCGCAAGUCAUCAGCUUGCGUUGAUUACGUCCCUGCCCUUUGUACACACCGCCCGUCGCUUGUACCGAUUGGAUGGUCCGGUGAAAUCUUCGGAUAGCUGGUAGUUGGCUUGCCAUCUACUGCUAAAAGUUGCUUAAACCUUAUCAUCUAGAGGAACAAGAAGUCGUAACA